AACGAACGCUGGCGGCAGGCUUAACACAUGCAAGUCGAGCGAGACCUUCGGGUCUAGCGGCGGACGGGUGAGUAACGCGUGGGAACGUGCCCUUCUCUACGGAAUAGCCCCGGGAAACUGGGAGUAAUACCGUAUACGCCCUUUGGGGGAAAGAUUUAUCGGAGAAGGAUCGGCCCGCGUUGGAUUAGGUAGUUGGUGGGGUAAUGGCCCACCAAGCCGACGAUCCAUAGCUGGUUUGAGAGGAUGAUCAGCCACACUGGGACUGAGACACGGCCCAGACUCCUACGGGAGGCAGCAGUGGGGAAUCUUAGACAAUGGGGGCAACCCUGAUCUAGCCAUGCCGCGUGAGUGAUGAAGGCCUUAGGGUUGUAAAGCUCUUUCAGCUGGGAAGAUAAUGACGGUACCAGCAGAAGAAGCCCCGGCUAGCUCCGUG
rnacentral:rRNA from 1 species